GACGUAGGGGUGCAAGCGUUGCCCGGAUUUAUUGGGCGUAAAGGGCGCGUAGGCGGCCGGAGCAAGUCAUGCGCUGGAAAUCUCCCCGGGCUCAACUGGGGAGGGUCGCUGUGAUACUGCUUGGCUUGAGCCAAGGUAGGGGGCAGUGGAAUUCCCGGUGUAGUGGUGGAAUGCGUAGAUAUCUGGAGGAAUACCGGUGGCGAAGGGCGGCAUCCUGGACCGGCAGUUGGACGACUGAUGGAGCGAAAAGCUGAGGGGAGCAAA
rnacentral:rRNA from 1 species